CCUGGAACUGGUGGUAGACAUGUCCAGACUGCUGCUGCCUCUACCGAAACCUCCUCCUGGACCCGUCGGGCCUCCAGCAUCCCCUCCUAGCGGAUGGGUCAUUACUGCUGCUCGUGUGGAGGAUUUUGGGAGUCCCUGGAAAAUCCAAGGGGUUUCGGACACAACUCAACGCCUCCUGGCUGACGCAUGGGCUCCUGGGACUAGACAAGCAUAUGGG